rnacentral:rRNA from 1 species
AUUGAACGCUGGCGGCAGGCCUAACACAUGCAAGUCGAGCGGAUGAAGAGAGCUUGCUCUCUGAUUUAGCGGCGGACGGGUGAGUAAUGCCUAGGAAUCUGCCUGGUAGUGGGGGAUAACGUUCCGAAAGGAACGCUAAUACCGCAUACGUCCUACGGGAGAAAGCAGGGGACCUUCGGGCCUUGCGCUAUCAGAUGAGCCGGGGUCGGAUUAGCUAGUUGGUGAGGUAAUGGCUCACCAAGGCGACGAUCCGUAACUGGCCUGAGAGGAUGAUCAGUCACACUGGAACUGAGACACGGUCCAGACUCCUACGGGAGGCAGCAGUGGGGAAUAUUGGACAAUGGGCGAAAGCCUGAUCCAGCCAUGCCGCGUGUGUGAAGAAGGUCUUCGGAUUGUAAAGCACUUUAAGUUGGGAGGGAGGGCAGUAAGUUAAUACCUUGCUGUUUUGACGUUACCGACAGAAUAAGCACCGGCUAACUUCGUGCCAGCCGCCGCCGUAAGAC